ensembl:misc_RNA Metazoa_SRP Metazoan signal recognition particle RNA
ACAGGGUGUGGUGGUGUGCGUACCUGUGGUCCCAGCUACACUGAAGGCUGAGGCUGGAGGAUGGCUUCAGCCAGUUCUGGGCUGUAGUACACUACACACUAAGUUUGGCAUCAAUAUGGUGACCUCCCAGGAGUUGGGAACCACCAGUUUGCCUAAGAAGUGAAACAGCCAAGACUGGAAACAAAGGAGGUCAAAACUCCUGUGCUGAUUAGCAGUGGAAUCGUGCCUGUGAAUAACCACUGCACUCCAGCCUGGACAACAUAGUGAGUCCCUGUCUCU